UGGGUGUGGCCUGGUGGGGGCUCAGGGGCCAUCUCUGCCCCAGCAGUCCCUGCUUCUUGGUGGGGGGACCGCCUGUGGGCGACAGUCCACCAGUGGGGAUGUAACUCCGUAGGACUCUGUGGGGUGGUAUAUGUGGCCACCUGUGUCAACAUGGAUGAGAUUUUCUCGGGCCAGCUGCAGUUUGCGUUGGCGGGGCCUGUGGUCUUGUGUGUGUGUGAGGUGCUGCCUGCGUGUGUCCUGUGCCUGCCUCCCCCUCGACUUCCACAAUGACGUCAGGCAAACUCUGGGCUCCUCUGGCCUCAGUUUCCCUUUCUUUUCAUCCAUCCUCUGGGCAGCCUGGCUCAGCUGUCUCAUGGGGUGCCUGUGUGCCUGUGAGGGGCGGUGGGCAGGGGCCCUCUCUCUGGCGGGCUCUCAGACAGUUUCUGGGAAGGUGGGGAAGACUGAGUCUCUAGACCAGGGUGAGGUAAGUCUCCAUUUCUUGGGGCCCUCCCCACUUGGAAAUGAUGCAGGCCUCUAAUCCUUCCUCUUAGGCCUCUGCUGCUAAGAGGACAAUUAAGCUAAUGCUCUCUACACACACAGGCCGCCUGGCUGACUCAGUGGCGGGGGCAGGAGUUGGGGGUUCUGAAGCCUGGAGGAGGGCUGGCCUACUCCCAAGCUGAACCCCAAGCCCCAGAGUGCUGAGCACAGCUGAAGGAGAAUUAAUUACUGAGUGUGCACACUGAAUAGGUUCCAAUAAAAGCUGUCUCGGCCUCAUAUAAAUAUUUUCAUUCUGGGAGGGGCUGGUAAGGUAAUCAGAGUCACAGGCAAGGACCCUGGGCCCGCCCCCCAGCCCAUCCCCUCUCCUCCCCAAAGCUAGGCAGGCCUGGAGUCCCUGCAUCUUACCUGUGUCUCUCUCUUCCCAGGUCUUCAAGCCGCUCAGCGUGGUAAGGUCUGGGGACACGGGGCCUAGGUCUUACUUGGGUCUGGGUUGGGACUGGGGUGAGGUCAGGACAGGUAUCUGCUGUCAGUGUGACUAACUCCUUUCCACAGCCUGUGGACAGCGUGGCCCCGGCCCCCCCAAGCCUCAGGAGGGCAACACAGUCCCUGGCGAGUGGCCCUGGCAGGCCAGUGUGAGGAGGCAAGGAGCCCACAUCUGCAGCGGCUCCCUGGUGGCAGACACCUGGGUCCUCACUGCUGCCCACUGCUUUGAAAAGGCAGCAGCAACAGAACUGAAUUCCUGGUCAGUGGUCCUGGGUUCUCUGCAGCGUGAGGGACUCAGCCCUGGGGCCGAAGAGGUGGGGGUGGCUGCCCUGCAGUUGCCCAGGGCCUAUAACCACUACAGCCAGGGCUCAGACCUGGCCCUGCUGCAGCUCGCCCACCCCACGACCCACACACCCCUCUGCCUGCCCCAGCCCGCCCAUCGCUUCCCCUUUGGAGCCUCCUGCUGGGCCACUGGCUGGGAUCAGGACACCAGUGAUGCUCCUGGGACCCUACGCAAUCUGCGCCUGCGUCUCAUCAGUCGCCCCACAUGUAACUGUAUCUACAACCAGCUGCACCAGCGACACCUGUCCAACCCGGCCCGGCCUGGGAUGCUAUGUGGGGGCCCCCAGCCUGGGGUGCAGGGCCCCUGUCAGGGAGAUUCCGGGGGCCCUGUGCUGUGCCUCGAGCCUGACGGACACUGGGUUCAGGCUGGCAUCAUCAGCUUUGCAUCAAGCUGUGCCCAGGAGGACGCUCCUGUGCUGCUGACCAACACAGCUGCUCACAGUUCCUGGCUGCAGGCUCGAGUUCAGGGGGCAGCUUUCC
rnacentral:lncRNA from 10 species